AUUGAACGCUGGCGGCAGGCCUAACACAUGCAAGUCGAGCGGAGCGGCGGACGGGUGAGUAAUGUCUGGGAAACUGCCUGAUGGAGGGGGAUAACUACUGGAAACGGUAGCUAAUACCGCAUCCUAUCAGAUGAGCCUAGGUCGGAUUAGCUAGUUGGUGGGGUAAAGGCCUACCAAGGCGACGAUCCGUAACUGGUCUGAGAGGAUUAUCAGUCACACUGGAACUGAGACACGGUCCAGACUCCUACGGUAGGCAGCAGUGGGGAAUAGUGGACAAUGGGCGAAAGCCUGAUCCAGCCAGGCGGCGUGUGGAAAGAAGGUGUUCGGAUUGUAGAACGCUAUAAGAUAGAAGGGGUUACCAGGAGAAUAAGCAGCGGCUAACUUCGUGCCAACCGCCGCGGUAAUUG
rnacentral:rRNA from 1 species